GCCCACUGAAAUAUUUUUAAGGGCCGCAGUAUCCUAACUGUGCUAAGGUAGCGUAAUCAUUUGUCAUUUAAUUAAUGACUAGUAUGAAGGGCUUAACGAGAGAAUAACUAUCUACUAUUUAAUAAAUGAAAUUAACCUAUUAGUUAAAAGGCUAAUAUAAUCUAAAAAGACGAGAAGACCCUAAAGAGCUUAGCAGAAAGGUUUAAUAAAAGAAACUUAACCUUUUAUAUUAAAUUCUUCUGCUUAAUUGGGGUGAUUAAAAGAUAAAUAAAACUCUUUUUAAUUAACUACUUUUUAUAAGGUAUAAAUGAUCCGGCCUGCCGAUUAUAAGAAAAAGUUACCUUAGGGAUAACAGCGUAAUGCUUAUUAAGAGCCCAUAUCGACAUAAGUGUUUGCGACCUCGAUGUUGGACUAAAAUUAAAUCAUGGUGCAGAAGCCAUGCUUUUUAGGUCUGUUCGACCUUUAAUUUUUUACACGAUCUGAGUUCAGACCGGCGAGAGCCAGGUUG
rnacentral:rRNA from 1 species